AACGAACGCUGGCGGCAGGCCUAACACAUGCAAGUCGAACGCCCCGCAAGGGGAGUGGCAGACGGGUGAGUAACGCGUGGGAACCUUCCCUAUAGUACGGAAUAGCCCAGGGAAACUUGGAGUAAUACCGUAUACGCCCGAGAGGGGAAAGAUUUAUCGCUAUAGGAUGGGCCCGCGUAGGAUUAGCUAGUUGGUGAGGUAAUGGCUCACCAAGGCGACGAUCCUUAGCUGGUCUGAGAGGACGACCAGCCACACUGGGACUGAGACACGGCCCAGACUCCUACGGGAGGCAGCAGUGGGGAAUAUUGGACAAGGGGCGCAAGCCUGAUCCAGCCAUGCCGCGUGAGUGAUGAAGGCCUUAGGGUUGUAAAGCUCUUUUGCCGGGGAAGAUAAUGACGGUACCCGGAGAAUAAGUCCCGGCUAACUUCGUGCCAGCAGCCGCCGUAACAC
rnacentral:rRNA from 1 species